AGUCCCGCCUCUACCGCCCAGCGGACGCCGCCGCCGCCGCCGCCGCCGCGUACCUAGCCAGGUCCCUGAGGGGCGGGCAGAUGAGGCCUAGGGGUGCCGAUCCCUAGUGUCGACUAUGCGAGAUCUGAUUCCGGAGCUGCCAUGAUUGAAGUGGUAGCAGAGCUCAGCCGGGGUCCUGUAUUUUUGGCUGGGGAGGCGCUGGAGUGUGUAGUGACCGUCACCAACCCCCUUCCGCCCACGGCCACUUCUGCAUCCAGUGAGGCCCUGGCCUGGGCCAGUGCCCAAAUCCACUGCCAGUUCCAUGCCAGUGAGAGUCGAGUAGCACUGCCUCCUCCUGACUCUAGUCAGCCAGAUGUCCAGCCCGACAGCCAGACUGUCUUUCUGCCACACCGAGGUGAGAGGGGCCAGUGUAUCCUUUCUACUCCACCGAAAAUUCUAUUCUGUGACCUGAGGCUUGAUCCUGGAGAGUCCAAAUCAUACUCCUACAGUGAAGUGCUGCCCAUAGAGGGACCACCCUCCUUUCGGGGUCAGUCAGUCAAGUACGUCUACAAACUGACCAUUGGCUGCCAGCGUGUCAACUCCCCUAUCACUUUACUCAGAGUCCCUCUGAGGGUUCUUGUGCUGACUGGCCUUCAGGAUGUCCGGUUUCCCCAGGAUGAGGCUGUAGCCCCAUCCAGUCCAUUCUUGGAGGAGGAUGAAGGUGGGAAGAAAGAUUCAUGGCUAGCUGAGCUGGCUGGGGAACGCCUAAUGGCUGCCACAUCCUGCCGCAGCCUCCAUCUAUACAAUAUCAGUGAUGGCCGAGGGAAAGUUGGGACGUUUGGCAUCUUCAAAUCUGUGUACAGACUUGGCGAGGACGUGGUGGGGACCUUAAACUUAGGGGAAGGAACCGUAGCUUGUUUGCAGUUUUCAGUCAGCUUACAGACCGAGGAGCGUGUACAGCCUGAGUACCAGCGGCGACGUGGGGCAGGGGGUGUCCCCUCUGUGUCACAUGUGACUCACGCCCGGCACCAGGAAUCCUGCCUACAUACAACUAGAACCAGCUUCUCCCUCCCAAUCCCUCUCAGCUCCACCCCAGGCUUCUGUACAGCCAUUGUGUCCUUGAAGUGGAGAUUGCAUUUUGAAUUUGUAACGUCCCGAGAACCAGGAUUGGUACUCCUACCCCCUGUGGAACAGCCCGAACCUACCACCUGGACAGGACCUGAGCAAGUACCUGUAGACACCUUCAGCUGGGACCUGCCCAUCAAGGUGCUGCCUACUAGCCCCACCCUGGCCUCAUAUGCUGCCCCAGGCCCCAGCACCAGCACCAUAACCAUCUGAAACUGGCCCACCCUGGUGCUAGUUCCUUCCGGAUACUGAGAACUCAGCACCUGGACUCUAAUGGGACCCACUUUUUCCACCUGGGGUCCAAUGUCGUGGACAGUGAGAGUCGGGCUUUCAGCUAUAGCAUUAAUUUAUUUGUUCAGAAUACAUUGGCAGCUGCUAGUGGUUUCCCUGGAAGUGGCAGCAGCAGUGAGCAGUCAGCAGAUGGAUGAUCAGUUGAGUUUAGCUGGAGUGGGGAGCAGGAGCCCCAGGAACAGGGGUGUUGGCUGAGCCCCAUUCUGGGUCAGGCCCUCCCCCUUUGCAGGGCAGCCGAGGGUCAGAUUUUUGCACCAAGGAGAACUGGCAGGUUCCUGCCUCCUGACGUACCUCACACCCAGCCGGGAAGUCGAUGGGAUGCUGGGACCUGGGGAACCAAGGAUAGGGGAAGGAGUCAGCACAGUGAAAGGCUGCCUUUAUCCCUGCCCACAUGUUCCCUCUCUCACAGUUUUCCCCCCACAGAGCCCCUUUCAGUGGCCCCUUGGUCCUCCUAACUAAGCUGUCACCUACCAUAUGUGGGCCUUUUUGUUUUAUAACAGGAGUAUUUUCUCUCCAGGUCCACCCCAACCUCCCCUGAUUUAUAGCCUGAAGCCUUAUCUUUCACACUAGUGUUGGUCCCUUCAGGUUUGGCCCAUCUUGUAUUGCUCUUCUGUUCAUUCUUACAUCACAGCAAUCUAGUCACUCCCUGGUCAUCCCUCAGUCACUCAUAUCAGAGUCAUUCUCUCUGGCCAUCUUUGGUCACUCACGUGUCACAGCAGCCCACGCCAACAGGAUGCAGACAGGUGCAAUGGAAACAGUCCUUGCGGAGCCAAGACUCACCCAGGGUAAAAUAUUUCCCCUCAUAGUGACAGGGGGCUAGGGAAGAACGGGAAAUGUUAGUAGGUGUAGGAGUGCUGAUGAGAGGCAGAGGCUCUUCUGGUCUGGGGUGGAGACAGUAAGUACGCACUAUCCCCGUAUUUAGUUUGUCUUUCCUGUUUCACAGCUGGAGGAAGCCUGGGUAUUUUGACACGGGAUCAUCUGUAAGGCCCCAUCCUCCCUGUGCCCUCUCUGCUGCUCCUCCAUUCCUAACGCUUCACCCCACUUUACCUUGAGCUUGGAAGUAGCACUUGCUGUAGACUCCUGGGUGCUGGAGGAGUAGAGACAUCACCAAGCAGAUGAUCCCCCAGCCUCCUAGGAUCCCCUUGGCCUGUCCAGCCCAGAGCAUCCUUAGGGCCAUUGCUGCUGCACAGCCCUCUCAGACCCUUCUUGGCCUCUGCUCAGCUACUCUGGUCUUGACUCCUUGACUUUGCUUUGCGUUGCUCCUUGAGUCUUAGUUUCUGUCUUUCUCCCCUGGGCUCCUGUCUCACACUAUCUCCCUGCCCUCUGCUCUCACAGGCUGGGGAUGUUUAUAAAGUGAGGACCCUGGCCCCCUGCUGAGUAGAGCUGGAAAAGUUGUAACUCUGUUUCCUGAGGUGAGGGCAUGAAAACAAGAGGUCUAGCUUUAACAAGCUGUGAGAGCUGAUUCAUGCCCCGGCACAGCUAGAGGGAGGGAGGUGGCCAUGGAGGGGGCACUGGACUGGGCACUUCCCCAGCAAGGAGGCAGGAGGGGCGAGGGCCCCCAGGUGGUCCCCAGAUCUCUUCCCUGACCUGGAGAGAAGGAAGCAUUCCACCUUCCCCCUUUCUCCCCCACUGCCACCACCAGGGGUGUGUAUGCUGGGAUCCCUGCCUGGACCGGAGGGAGGCAUUUCCUGGGGAUGGUUAAUCCUGUGCCCCAGCCAAACCCAGGAGCUGCAAUAGGGUGCGACGGCCAGAAGCUCCAGGAGAGUGAGCAGGCACCUGGAGUGGAGACUGUGUUUCCCUCAGAUCCUAGGGCAGGGUUUCCCUAAUGUAUCCAAGAAAUAGGGCUGCCCCUCAGAGAUGGUGGGGAGGGUCUCUUUUCCUCAGGCAUUCCAGAGGUGAACUGUCCAUUGCUUAUCACCUUCAAACAUACAGCAGAUGUGGGAUCACCCCACAUCUGGGGAUGGUUCUUUCCCCUUUCAAAGAGGAGCAUCUCUAAGUGCCCUGAUGGGAUGAAUCACUCCAGGUUCACAGAGGUGUCCUCUCUUUCCUCCCAUAUAUAAUGGAGUGAGGUUUUUAGGAAUUUAUCAUUUGGCAUCCUCUGAGUUUCCCACAGGUUCUGGAGGAGCCCAGGAUGGAUUAUUGAGAGCAUGGGCUGUAGAGACAGUCUUCUUGGAUUCAGAUCCUGACUCCACUUAGCUAUGUAACCUGGUCAGAUUACUUCACCUCUCUGAGCCUGUUUCCUCAUCUAUAAAUUGGGGAUAGUAAUGCCAACUCAUUGGGCUGUUAUGAGGAUUACUGAGAUAAUGCGUGCAGUGCUCUUAUCACCAUCUCUGGUGCGUAAGCGUCAGGAAAUAGCAGUUGCUGUGAUUGGGGCUAAAGCUCUGAGGCAAAAUGGGCGACAUUAUUUUCUUUGAAUGACAUUAAGCAGUUUGUGCAUAGCUGAGGGCUUCUAUUGGGGAUGGCUGUCUCCUGGCAUAGACCUCUGCACCUUUCACACUCAUACUCCUUGUCAGCAGUCCCCAACCUUUUUGGUACCAGGGACCGGUUUUGUGGAAAACAAUUUUUCCACCAGUGGAUGGAGGGGGAUAGCAGCGGGGAGAUGAUUUUGGGAUGAAACUGUUUCAUCUCAGAUCAUCAGGCAUUAGAUUCUCAUAAGGAGUGUGCAAUCUAGAUCCCUUGCAUGCGGAGUUCACAGUGGGGUUUGCACUCCUGUGAGAAUCUAAUGCCUCUGCUGAUCUGCCAGGAGGAGGAGCUCAGGCGGUAAUGCUCACUCGCCUGCCGCCCACCUCCUGCUUUGUGCUCCCGCUUCCUAACAGGCCACAGACUGGUACUGGCCUGUGGCCUGGGGGAUGGAGACCCCUAAUCCAUGUCACCUUUCCCACCUCUUUCAAAAACAGGUACCUCCAGGAACAUUUUGGUUUUGGCCCUUGUAUUGACUUCUGAAUGUCUAGUUUGAGAAACUGUUCCCAAUAAGCCUUCUUCCCCCAGAUCUGCACCCUCGCCUCUACCCUAGGACAAGAUGUCCUUUUCUCAUCAUCCUGCCAGGCUAACUUUAAGUCUCCUGCUUUUUCUCACUUGGAUUUGGAUCCAUUUCUUCCUAUUUCCGCUCAUGUGAACUCUCCAGUUCUCCUUUCUCACCACUCUCCUGCUAGCCAUCUCUUUGGCACUAAAGGCCCUGGUCAAAUUGGAUUUCUUUCAUUUUUCCACACUUCAAAGACCCAUGUUCUAGGUAUUCUCCAUAGGGAUAGUCUCUUUGGCAUUUAUUUGGUUUUUCUACGUUUUCAGUCCCAUUUACUCCAAGACUCACUCCCUGCCACCUAGUGCAUCAGAUACAGCUACUUCUGGCUGACUUUUCAAGGGGGACCACCCUACCUGUCAUCUCUUCACUGUUCAGAAAUGACUGUGUCAGUGCACCUCAAACUCCCUUGCUGUCCUUUUCCAAGGAGACAGCUAAGGUGGAUGGAGAUGCAGAAUGGACCUCACGUUCGCCCUAGUCAGGACUGAUACCCUUUCCGUUUCAGAGGAUUGCCAAGAAAAAACUCACAGUUGAGGCAGGGUGCUCUGAGGUCGGCUGCGGUGUGGGAGGCACGGCCUGGGCCUGCUCUCUGGGCUGGAGCAGGUGGAUUCGAAGGCCUGUCUAGCACGAGGGCCCAAAGGUCUUGUCAGUGGCCAGUAGCUCUGCCGCCUUUCCCAGAGAGGGGGUCCAGGGGACAUCCUGGAAGGCUGGGCCCUGGGCCACCUUCUGCUCUUGCAAGCUAGAGCCAGCCCAAUAGGGGGCGGAUGUGAGUGGGGAGCUGGGGCGCAUGAAGGUGGGGGUGAUGCCGAAGGGGAAGGGAUCGCCAGUGGGGAUUGGUGCGUGUGCGGAAACGGGGACAGAAGUGAAGGUUCAUCGCCUAUAACGAAGAUGAGGUAGGCAUAUAGGGGCUUCUGGAAAGCUAGAGGCUGGGCUGAGCCAGGAGUCCUCUCCCAGAAGUUGGGGGGCGGUGCAGAGGUGUGGGUCGAGCCCGCAUGCGUGCCUGCUGGGGAGGGGGUGAGUGGUGAGGACCAGGCCCGCUGGGUCCUGGGGGCGCGGUGGCUGGCGCGCAGGUCCCGGAGGGGGCGGCUGGCGCGCACUACACGCUUGGGAACAAGGAAAACAUCCGCCGGAGGCCCGGCCGGGCGGCGCUCCAGCCUCGGGGCAGGUGCGCGGAGAGGAAGUGAGAGCAUUCCGGCCCCCCCACCCCAACCCCGGCCGCUGGCCCUCUGUUAUAUGCAUCAAGGUGACAGGUGACGGCAUGGUUAUGGAUUAACUCACCAAGGAAAUGAGUGUGGAAAGAAGAAUGCAGAAAUCUGAGGACUAGAGCCUGGAGAUGGGGAGCUUCGAGCUCAGAGGAAGAAGAGGAUCUUCAUCACGGGGAGACAUCAGCUGGAUAUUGAGAUGGAAGGAUGACUAUGAGUAUGAGCUAUUAUAGAAACCAUGGAAUCUUUGGCCAUCUAUGAAACAAUUUCCAUGGGAAAAUGACUUGUUUGGACUGUAUUUUCACAAAGCUGAUAUUUCUGGCCCUUAGAAUAUGAUACCUGUUUGUCUAAAAAACAUAUAUCUAUUCAGGGUCUUGCUGUCACCCAGGCUGCCUCUAUCCUCUGGGAUCAAGCGAUCCCCCCACCUCAGCCUCCCAAGUAGCUGGGACCACAGGUUCGUGCCACCAUAUCUGAUUGAUUUGUUUGGUUUUUAAUAGAGAUUAUAGGCAUUACAGGCAAGAGCCACCGUGCCUGGCCCCUUCCUACUUUCUAGUUAACUGGCCAACUGGGAGGAAAAGGGAAAGGCAAGAUGCUUGAAUGUUUAAUCCCUAACAUAAUGAAGAAUAGUCCUUAAUGUUCAGAAUAAUGACAUAUGAUGCACUUGUACUUGCGUAGGAGUCUGGGUGACAGUGGUGGCUGAUCCUCACUGAGGGCUGCAGGUGUUCCAGAGAGACUUGCCUGGGUUUGGUGGCUAUUAUAUUGUAAGCACAGCUUUCUACAGUAAGUUCCAUGAGUCAGCAAAAUAUCUAUAAAGAGCCUCUCCUUGGAGACCAUGAAACCUGCAUUUUAAUCUCUCUUUUGCAACUAAAAAGCCAUGUGGGAUUGGGGGAGAGGAGCAAGUAAGGACACUGCGACCUUCCUCUCUGGGAUUUGGUUUUCAAUUAUCUUUAAAUGAGAGGGCUAAACAAUAUAUUUAUAUGAUCCUCUUAGCCCUGCCAUUCUGUAAUUCUUUCAGGAAUUUUGUCAUUUUGGAUUUGCUUGUCUCAUAAAACAAUGUGUAGUUGCUUAAAAAUCAACUAUUCUAUUUGGUUGACUUGGUCUAAAGUAUUUCUCAUGUUGUCUCGUCAUUCUUUUGACUGUUCCUUUUUUUUUUUUUUGCCUUGGCCAGAUAGGACAAAAUUCCUUUUCACUGCAGUAUUGGGAGCCUGGAACUAGAGUUACCAACCCCUCUGCGUUAAAGAAGGAGCUGUCCUGAGGCUUCCAUCUCUACUGGGCUUGAGGCAAGAACAUUGUUAGGGACGGCCUGCUCUUGGCCUCUGUGCCCCAGGGAUUGCAAAUGCAUGUUCCUCAAAGGUAAGGGCUGUAUCAUUCGGCUUUCUUUGUAUUCACAGGUACAGCUUGUGCUAGGCAGCCGGUGUUCAAUAAAUAUCGUGCCUAAGGA